GAAACUAUUGAAUGGGUUCCUAUGAGAAGUUGAAGAAAAGUUAUGGAUAAUGAAAACAACGCUCCUUCGUUAUUAAAGUCGAUUGAGCACUAUGAUCCUAUAUUUUUCGAAUUGUUCGUCGACCAAAAACAGUUAUGGAUCAUGAAAACAACGCUCCUUCGUUGUUAAAGUUGA